rnacentral:rRNA from 1 species
UACGUAGGGGGCAAGCGUUGUCCGGAAUUAUUGGGCGUAAAGAGCGCGUAGGCGGUCCGAUAAGUCGGCUGUGAAAGUCAAGGGCUCAACCCUUGAAAGCCGGCCGAUACUGUCGGACUAGAGUCCGGAAGAGGCGAGUGGAAUUCCCGGUGUAGGCGGUGAAAUGCGCAGAUAUCGGGAGGAACACCAAUGGCGAAGGCAGCUCGCCUGGGCCGGUACUGACGCUGA